rnacentral:rRNA from 1 species
AUUAACGCUGGCGGCGUGCAUGAGACAUGCAAGUCGAACGGACGGGCGAGCUUGCUCGCCCGUUAGUGGCGGACGGCUGAGUAACGCGUGGGUGACCUGCCCCGAAGUGGGGAAUAACUGCCCGAAAGGGUGGCUAAUACCGCAUGUGGUGACUGGUUCGUUCCAGUCUCCAAAGCCGCAAGGCGCUUCGGGAGGGCCUGCGUCCGAUUAGCUCGUUGGUGGGGUAAC